rnacentral:lncRNA from 1 species
AAAUGUCUGAGGAUCACCUUGUUCCAUUCUGCUUUAUUAGAGAAUGAAUAUAAUAGAGAGUAGAAAAAUAAGCCCAGGAAGAAGCAACCAGAUGGAAAACCGUGUUGAAGUUGUGAAUGGAAAUAAACGUCAAAAGUUAUGUGAAUGAGAAGAGAAGAGAAAACUCCACAGAGAUUCUGGCGAUGGAGCCUGCUAUGAGAUAUUUUGAUUAAAAGGCACUAUCCUUUGCUUUGAGGAAAAUAAGAGAUUUACAGGAGGCAUCAUGCAGGAGAAGCCUGUUAUCACUCUCGGAGGAAACAAUCUGUUGAGUAGAGUUUGAACAGAACAUUGGCAGGAGCCUGAGGAUGGACAGUCAAGAGACUGCAUUCAAGGAUAGAUGACAAUAUGCCAGAGGAAACCCCAAGUCCUGCAUUAACUGCCUCACACGGGAGUGCUUGGUGGGAUGGGUGAAGACUUCAGAGGGACUCUCAGGACACAGGCAUGUUUUCAUCAUUUCUUUCAGCUGAAGGUCAUGUCUCUGGAAAAGAAUGGAGGACGGGGGACUGAACAGCUGGAGAUGGUGUAGAAGAGAAGAUGUUAGUUUCCUGGACUGCAGCCUAUGAUACCAGAACAAAAGGUUCUGGCUGGAAUCAGGAAACACUUUACAGAGACCAGGAAGAAUGUAUUUGGCACACAAUUCUGACCUGUCCAACAGAGUGGAAGUAGGAUUUUUCUUUUCAGAGAGAGGGGGAAAGAAAGUCUAAAUGCACUGCAGAACAACAUGAUAUUGGAGUUGUCAUACCUGACAUGAUAAGAAGGAGCAGAGUGAGGGUAAGUUUCUAGUAUUUCUUAGGUGAUGAUAAAAGGCAUUUUAGGGCUG